rfam:Schistosoma curassoni strain Dakar, Senegal genome assembly, scaffold: SCTD_scaffold0002186
AUCCAGCUGACCAGUACCUAAUAGGACGAAACGCGCGUCCUGGAU